GAUGAACGCUGGCGGCGUGCCUAACACAUGCAAGUCGAGCGAUUUACUUCGGUAAAGAGCGGCGCACGGGUGAGUAACGCGUGGGUAACCUGCCCAAGAGUGGGGUAUAACUCGCCGAAAGGCGGGCUAAUCCCGCAUACGUCCAACGGACUCAAGUCUGUUGGGGAAAGAUGGCCUCUGCUUGCAAGCUAUUGCUCUUGGAUGGGCCCGCGUUGGAUUAGCUAGUUGGUGAGGUAAUGGCUCACCAAGGCUUCGAUCCAUAGCUGGUUUGAGAGGACGACCAGCCACACUGGAACUGAGACACGGUCCAGACUCCUACGGGAGGCAGCAGUAAGGAAUAUUGGACAAUGGGGGCAACCCUGAUCCAGCAAUGCCG
rnacentral:rRNA from 1 species